rnacentral:rRNA from 1 species
AUACGUAGGGUGCAAGCGUUAAUCGGAAUUACUGGGCGUAAAGCGUACGCAGGCGGUUCGGAAAGAAAGAUGUGAAAUCCCAGAGCUUAACUUUGGAACUGCAUUUUUAACUACCGGGCUAGAGUGUGUCAGAGGGAGGUGGAAUUCCGCGUGUAGCAGUGAAAUGCGUAGAUAUGCGGAGGAACACCGAUGGCGAAGGCAGCCUCCUGGGAUAACACUGACGCUCAUGCACGAAAGCGUGGGGAGCAAACAGGAUUAGAUACCCUGGUAGUCCACGCCCUAAACGAUGUCAACUAGCUGUUGGGGUCUUCGGACCUUGGUAGCGCAGCUAACGCGUGAAGUUGACCGCCUGGGGAGUACGGUCGCAAGAUUAAA